GAUGAACGCUGGCGGCGUGCCUAAUACAUGCAAGUCGAGCGAACAGACGAGGAGCUUGCUCCUCUGACGUUAGCGGCGGACGGGUGAGUAACACGUGGAUAACCUACCUAUAAGACUGGGAUAACUUCGGGAAACCGGAGCUAAUACCGGAUAAUAUAUUGAACCGCAUGGUUCAAUAGUGAAAGACGGUGUUGCUGUCACUUAUAGAUGGAUCCGCGCCGCAUUAGCUAGUUGGUAAGGUAACGGCUUACCAAGGCAACGAUGCGUAGCCGACCUGAGAGGCUGAUCGGCCACACUGGAACUGAGACACGGUCCAGACUCCUACGGGAGGCAGCAGUAGGGAAUCUUACGCAAUGGGCGAAAGCCUGACGGAGCAACGCCGCGUGAGUGAUGAAGGUCUUCGGAUCGUAAAACUCUGUUAUUAGGGAAGAACAAAUGUGUAAGUAACUAUGCACGUCUUGACGGUACCUAAUCAGAAAGCCACGGCUAACUACGUG
rnacentral:rRNA from 1 species